rnacentral:tRNA from 1 species
GGUGGGUUGGCUCAGUGGUUAGAGCGUAGGUCUCGUAACCGAAAGAUCGCAAGAUCGAAUCCCGCUAGAGGCUG